GUGUCAGCAGCCGCGGUAAUACGGAGGGUGCAAGCGUUAAUCGGAAUUACUGGGCGUAAAGGGCGCGUAGGCGGUUUGGUAAGCGAGUUGUGAAAGCCCCGGGCUCAACCUGGGAAUGGCAAUUCGAACUGCCAGGCUAGAAUGCAGCAGAGGGCAGUGGAAUUCCAGGUGUAGCGGCGAAAUGCGUAGAUAUCUGGAGGAACACCAGUGGUGAAGGCGACUGCCUGGGCUGACAUUGACGCUGAGGUGCGAAAGCGUGGGUAGCAAGCAGGAUUAGAAACCCCUGUAGUCC
rnacentral:rRNA from 1 species